rnacentral:misc_RNA from 1 species
AACGCACCUUGCGCCCUUUGGCUAUUCCGAAGGGCAUGCCUGUUUGAGUAUCAUGAACAUCUCAACUCCUCACGGUUUGCCCGUGAUGAGCUUGGACUUUGGGGGUCUUGCUGGCCUGCAGGUCGGCUCCUCUCAAAUGAAUCAGCUUGCCAGUGUUUGGUGGCGUCACAGGUGUGAUAACUAUCUACGCUUGUGGUUUUCCGCCAGGUAACCUCCAGCAAAUGGAGGUUCACUGGAGCUCACAAACGUCUCUCCUCGGUGAGGACAGCUCUUUGAACGUUUGAUCUCAAAUCAGGUAGGACUACCCGCUGAACUUAA